GAAAAAACCCCGUUGUAUUUAACUACAGAAAA
rnacentral:tRNA from 1 species